rnacentral:rRNA from 1 species
GAUGAACGCCGGCGGCGUGCCUAAUACAUGCAAGUCGAGCGAACGGACGAGGAGCUUGCUUCUCUGACGUUAGCGGCGGACGGGUGAGUAACACGUGGAUAACCUACCUAUAAGACUGGGAUAACUUCGGGAAACCGGAGCUAAUACCGGAUAAUAUAUUGAACCGCAUGGUUCAAUAGUGAAAGACGGUUUUGCUGUCACUUAUAGAUGGAUCCGCGCUGCAUUAGCUAGUUGGUAAGGUAACGGCUUACCAAGGCAACGAUGCGUAGCCGACCUGAGAGGGUGAUCGGCCACACUGGAACUGAGACACGGUCCAGACUCCUACGGGAGGCAGCAGUAGGGAAUCUUCCGCAAUGGGCGAAAGCCUGACGGAGCAACGCCGCGUGAGUGAUGAAGGUCUUCGGAUCGUAAAACUCUGUUAUUAGGGAAGAACAAAUGUGUAAGUAACUGUGCACGUCUUGACGGUACCUAAUCAGAAAGCCACGGCUAACUACGUG